AACGAACGCUGGCGGCAGGCUUAACACAUGCAAGUCGAACGCCCCGCAAGGGGAGUGGCAGACGGGUGAGUAACACGUGGGAACAUGCCCAAAGGUACGGAACAACUCCGGGAAACUGGAGCUAAUACCGUAUGUGCCCGAAAGGGGAAAGAUUUAUCGCCUUUGGAUCGGCCCGCGUUGGAUUAGGUAGUUGGUGGGGUAAUGGCCUACCAAGCCGACGAUCCAUAGCUGGUUUGAGAGGAUGAUCAGCAACACUGGGACUGAGACACGGCCCAGACUCCUACGGGAGGCAGCAGUGGGGAAUCUUAGACAAUGGGGGAAACCCUGAUCUAGCCAUGCCGCGUGAGCGAUGAAGGCCUUAGGGUUGUAAAGCUCUUUCACCGGGGAAGAUAAUGACGGUACCCGGAGAAGAAGCCCCGGCUAACUCCGUGCCAGCCGCCGCUGUAA
rnacentral:rRNA from 1 species